GGCGUCAUAGCUCAGUUGGGAGAGCAGCAGACUGAAGAAGAACGUUCUCAAAUCUGAAGGUCCGGUGUUCGAGCCACCGUGAUGCCA